rnacentral:rRNA from 1 species
GGCUCAGAAUCAACGCUGGCGGCGCGCCUAACACAUGCAAGUCGAGCGAGAAAGGGGAGCAAUCCCUGAGUAAAGCGGCGUACGGGUGAGUAACACGUGGAUGAUCUACCUUCUAGUGGGGAAUAACCCUGGGAAACCGGGGCUAAUACCGCAUAAGCACGAGAGUGGAAAGCAGCAAUGCGCUGGAAGAGGAGUCCGCGGCCGAUUAGCUAGUUGGCAGGGUAAAAGCCUACCAAGGCAAGGAUCGGUAGCCGGCCUGAGAGGGCACACGGCCACACUGGCACUGAAACACGGGCCAGACUCCUACGGGAGGCAGCAGUGGGGAAUCUUGCACAAUGGGGGAAACCCUGAUGCAGCGACGCCGCGUGAGCGAUGAAGCCCUUCGGGGUGUAAAGCUCUUUCGGCAGGGAAGAUUAUGACGGUACCUGCAGAAGCAGCUGCGGCUAACUACGUGCCAGCAGCCGCGGUAAUACGUAGGCAGCGAGCGUUGUUCGGAGUUACUGGGCGUAAAGGGUGCGUAGGCGGUUGUUUAAGUUUGGUGUGAAAUCUCCCGGCUCAACCGGGAGGGUGCGCCGAAUACUGAAUGACUAGAGUGCGGGAGAGGAGAGUGGAAUUCCUGGUGUAGCGGUGAAAUGCGUAGAUAUCAGGAGGAACACCGGUGGUGUAGACGGCUCUCUGGACCGUAACUGACGCUGAGGCACGAAAGCGUGGGUAGCAAACAGGAUUAGAUACCCUGGUAGUCCACGCCCUAAACGAUGCAUAUUUGGUGUGGGCAGUUCAGUCUGUCCGUGCCGGAGCUAACGCGUUAAAUCGACCGCCUGGGGAGUACGGCCGCAAGGUUAAAACUCAAAG